rnacentral:rRNA from 1 species
AUUGAACGCUGGCGGCAUGCUUUACACAUGCAAGUCGAACGGCAGCGCGGGCUUCGGCCUGGCGGCGAGUGGCGAACGGGUGAGUAAUACAUCGGAACGUGCCCAGUAGUGGGGGAUAGCUCGGCGAAAGCCGGAUUAAUACCGCAUACGACCUGAGGGUGAAAGCGGGGGAUCUUCGGACCUCGCGCCUUUGGACCGGCUGAGGGCAAAUUAGCUAGUUGGGGGGGUAAAGGCCAACCAAGGCGAGGAUCUGUAGCUGGUCGGAGAGGACGACCGGCAAAACGGGAACUGGAACACGGCCCAGACUCCUACGGGAGGCAGCAGUGGGGAAUUUUGGACAAUGGGCGAAGGCCUGCUCCAGCAAUGCCGCGUGUGUGAUGAAGGCCUUCGGGUUGUAAAGCACGUCGGGCGGGAACGAAAAGGACUGUGCCAAUACCACGGUGCGAUGACGGUACCCGCAGAAUAAGCACCGGCUAACUACGUG